GGAGCGCGACGCUCUCCCCCAGGACGAAGCCAUGCAUGCCCGCUCACCCGGGACGCGGCGGACGGCUCAGGACAACGGUUGCACCCCCCGCGGCGGUCCCUGCUAGCCGGACACCGCUGGCAACCCGGCGCCAAGACGUGCGCGCAAGGGCGGGCGCCCGCGGGCGAGCAGCGUGACGCAGCGACGGCCCGCCCGGGCUUCCGGGGCAUCACCCGGUCGGCGCGGUCGCGGCGCGCCGAGGGCCCGACG
rnacentral:rRNA from 1 species